CGCACAAAGUGCCAGGAAAGAAUUAUUCAAGCCCUUCCCAAAAGGUAUCCUUCUGGCAAGGGUACUGUACUAAACUAACUAAAGUGGGGAAUAGUGAGGGGAUAAAUUUUCUUAAGGAAUUCGGCAAAAUCCCAAUGGCCCACCAGGGCAUAUUGGAACACGGCCCUCGACGGUUUACCAAAAACAUAGCCCUCGGCUAAUAUAAAAAUAAAUGUAUAGAGGGUGAUGCCUGCCCAAGGGUUGUAUCUAAAAGCGGUUGAUAAAAUUUAACCUCGUAAGGACAUUUGAAUGGCCCCGGUACCACUGACCGUAAUAAUGUUACCGUAAUCAAUAGCCAAUUUAAUUGUGGGCCAUUAUGAAGGGGCGCCACAAAGGCCCCCACUUGUUUUAAGGGAAAUUUCCCAGGGGAAAUUGAAUUCCUAGUGAAAAUGCCUACCUCCCAUUUUGUUAAACAAAAAAAACCCCCGUUGAACUUAUAACGGGAACACUUUACAUGGGCCCCGGGCCCUUCCCAUGCCCUGGGAAACAAAAUGGACUCCGGCCAAAUUUAAAUGGGGGC
rnacentral:rRNA from 1 species